AUGGACGUCGCGCAGGAAGCGCAGAUUAGCCAACAGGGAUACGCUGGAUUGCCGCCAGGAUGGUGGCGCAGAUCAAGGAUGUCAGGACUCAGUCUGCAAAAGCCCCGCGACAGCGGGGUUUU
rnacentral:sRNA from 1 species